AAAGGGGAAAGCUUCUUGAAAUAGCUGGGACACUCUUGAGAGCCUUCAAAGAGAAGGAAUUCACCUGGAAAGGGGCUGGAGAAAGGCCCCUCCAUCCAAGAAAGUAUGAGGAAAAUUGGACUGGAUGAGGCUGAGCAUCACCUGGCACACGGGCCCAGGCCUGGGCUUCAUGGACAUGGAGAAUAUAUCUUCAAGCUCUGGGGAAUACAGGACUCUACCCCCUUCACCUCGCCAUAGUGCUGGUCAGUAUUUAGUAUCUAUCCAUAGAUGCAGG
rnacentral:lncRNA from 1 species